rnacentral:rRNA from 1 species
AUGCAAGUCGAGCGCUCUCUUCGGAGGGAGCGGCGGACGGGUUAGUAACGCGUGGGAAUAUGCCCUUCUCUACGGAAUAGCCUCGGGAAACUGAGAGUAAUACCGUAUACGCCCUUCGGGGGAAAGAUUUAUCGGAGAAGGAUUAGCCCGCGUUGGAUUAGGUAGUUGGUGGGGUAAUGGCCUACCAAGCCGACGAUCCAUAGCUGGUUUGAGAGGAUGAUCAGCAACACUGGGACUGAGACACGGCCCAGACUCCUACGGGAGGCAGCAGUGGGGAAUCUUAGACAAUGGGGGAAACCCUGAUCUAGCCAUGCCGCGUGAGUGACGAAGGCCCUAGGGUCGUAAAGCUCUUUCGCCAGGGAUGAUAAUGACAGUACCUGGUAAAGAAACCCCGGCUAACUCCGUGCCAGCAGCCGCGGUAAUACGGAGGGGGUUAGCGUUGUUCGGAAUUACUGGGCGUAAAGCGCACGUAGGCGGACUAUUAAGUCAGGGGUGAAAUCCCGGGGCUCAACCCCGGAACUGCCUCUGAUACUGGUAGUCUUGAGUUCGAGAGAGGUGAGUGGAAUUCCGAGUGUAGAGGUGAAAUUCGUAGAUAUUCGGAGGAACACCAGUGGCGAAGGCGGCUCACUGGCUCGAUACUGACGCUGAGGUGCGAAAGCGUGGGGAGCAAAACAGGAUUAGAUACCCUGGUAGUCCACGCCGUAAAACGAUGAAUGCCCAGACGUCAGGAGGCUUUGCCUCUUGGUGUCACACCUAACGGAUUAAGCAUUUCCGCCUGGGGGAGUACGGUUCGCAAGAUUAAAACUCAAAGGAAUUUGACGGGGGGCCCGCACAAGCGGUGGAGCAUGUGGUUUUAAUUCGAAAGCAACGCGCCAGACCUUUACCAACCCUUUGACAUCCCUGAUCGCGGUUUACCCGGAGACCGGUUUCCCUUCAGUUUCGGCUUGAAUCAGUGACAGGUGCUUGCAUGGCUG